AGAGCGAACGCUGGCGGCAUGCUUAACACAUGCAAGUCGCACGGGCAUAUUUCGAUAUGUCAGUGGCGGACGGGUGAGUAACGCGUAGGUAUCUGUCCUUGGGUGGGGGAUAACGCCGGGAAACUGGUGCUAAUACCGCAUGAUGACUGAGGUCCAAAGGCUCCAAUGGAAGUUGGAUGUUGCCUGGGGAGGAGCCUGCGUCCGAUUAGCUUGUUGGUGGGGUAAUGGCCUACCAAGGCUCCGAUCGGUAGCUGGUCUGAGAGGAUGAUCAGCCACAUUGGGACUGAGACACGGCCCAAACUCCUACGGGAGGCAGCAGUGGGGAAUAUUGGACAAUGGGCGCAAGCCUGAUCCAGCAAUGCCGCGUGGAUGAAGAAGGUUUUCGGAUUGUAAAGUCCUUUCGGCGGGACGAUGAUGACGGUACCCGCAGAAGAGCCCGGCUAACUUCGUGCCAGCAGCCGCGGU
rnacentral:rRNA from 1 species